ACUUUGAACUGCGAUGGCUCAUUAUAUCAGUCCAUAGUUUAUUUGAUGAAGAAUACUAAUUGGAUAACCGUAGUAAUUCUAGAGCUAAUACAUGUAUAAAGUCUUGUAGACUGCAUUUAUUAGAAUGAAAACCAUAGGUUUCGGCCUAUUCGUGAGUAAUAAUAACUAAUCAUAUCGUAUGCUUAUGUAACGAUGUGUCUUUCAAGUUUCUGCCCUAUCAGCUUUCGAUGGUAGUGUAUUGGAGUACCAUGGCAGUAACGGGGUAACGAAGAAA
rnacentral:rRNA from 1 species